rnacentral:rRNA from 1 species
UACAGAGGGUGCGAGCGUUGUCCGGAAUCACUGGGCGUAAAGGGCGCGUAGGCGGCCUGAUCAAGUCGGAUGUGAAAUCCCUCGGCUCAACCGAGGAACUGCACCCGAUACUGGUUGGCUAGAGUCCGGGAGGGGGUAGCGGAAUUCCCAGUGUAGCGGUGAAAUGCGUAGAUAUUGGGAAGAACACCGGUGGCGAAGGCGGCUACCUGGACCGGUACUGACGCUGAGGCGCGAAAGCCAGGGGAGCGAAUGGG